AAUAGAUACCCGGGUAGUCCACGCCGUAAACGAUGAGUGCUAAGUGUUAGGGGGUUUCCGCCCCUUAGUGCUGCAGCUAACGCAUUAAGCACUCCGCCUGGGGAGUACGGUCGCAAGACUGAAACUCAAAGGAAUUGACGGGGGCCCGCACAAGCGGUGGAGCAUGUGGUUUAAUUCGAAGCAACGCGAAGAACCUUACCAGGUCUUGACAUCCCGCUGACCGCUAUGGAGACAUAGCUUUCCCUUCGGGGACAGCGGUGACAGGUGGUGCAUGGUUGUCGUCAGCUCGUGUCGUGAGAUGUUGGGUUAAGUCCCGCAACGAGCGCAACCCUUGUCCUUAGUUGCCAUCAUUCAGUUGGGCACUCUAAGGAGACUGCCGUACAAAUCGGAGGAAGGUGGGGAUGACGUCAAAUCAUCAUGCCCCUUAUGACCUGGGCUACACACGUGCUACAAUGGACGGUACAAACGGUUGCGAAGUCGCGAGACGGAGCCAAUCCGAGAAAGCCGUUCUCAGUUCGGAUUGCAGGCUGCAAC
rnacentral:rRNA from 1 species